rnacentral:misc_RNA from 1 species
GAAAUGCGAUAAGUAAUGUGAAUUGCAGAAUUCCGUGAAUCAUCGAAUCUUUGAACGCACAUUGCACUCUGCGGCCAUUCCGCAGAGUAUGCCUGUUUGAGUAUCAGAAACCCCAUCUCACCCAACCUUUGCGGGCUGGAUACAGUGAGGAGAUGAGUGCUCUUUUUACUGCCUUGCGCUGUGAAAAGUCGCUUGAAAUGCAGAGAAACUGGGAAAACCGCUAUGCCCAUGGCUAAAUAACGAUGGUUACAUCGCCUUCCAGCUUUGGGUGGUUUUUCUCAGGCGGCUCAGUGAUGAGCUACCUUUUUUAUAUUUAAAUCUUGAUCUCAAAUCAGGCAAGACUACCCGCUGAACUUAA